ensembl:lncRNA
UAUUCGGGUGCAGAGACGCAGAGUGAGGGACAGCAUGAUUCGUGUUAACCCGAGGGCGGCUGCCCUCAGAGCCAUGUCGCAGAGGCUACAUAGAAGGUCAUACCGUGUUCCUGGACCAAACUCGUUAUGGCACCUUGAUGGAAACCACAAACUGAUAAGGUGGAGGAUAGUCAUACAUGGUGGCAUUGAUGGGUUGCAGCCGCCGUGUUUCUCCGUGCUUCCAGCAACAAUCGCAGCAGUACUGUAUUGGAUUGCUUCAUGAAUGCUGUCUCCAGAUAUGGCGUUCCCUCCAGAGUUAGAACGGACCAUGGAGGAGAAAACAACACUGUCUGCUUGUUGAAUACUACUUCUACAAACGAGGCUACACUUGUGGCAGCACCUAUUCCUUUGGCACCCCAUCUUCUGCACUUCUUGUCGCCCCCCUCCACCUAUACCACUUUCUGUGGCCCCUCCACCAUUCCCCGAGGCUUAUCGUCCACCUUCACCACACUUUUCUGUUGGUGUUGGUGAUGACAAUGAUGUUGACCUCCAAACACUGCUGAAGUUAAUGAGAUGCCAACCAAAUGAAUGUGAUGAUGGACAAUGUUUAUGAUUGCGCAAUGAGAGGCUUUAAGAGAGCCCACUUUAAUCCGGAAGCAAAGGUAUACAUGGUUUUUAGGGAUGCUGACGGAAAAGGGGCAGCUGAUGAGGGUGGUCCCUCAAGAGAAUUUCUCUGGCUGCUAAUGAGUGCCAUCCAUUCCUCUGCAAUAUUUGAGGGACCUGAUUGACAAAAAUGCCUUUCUUGAAACUCUCAAGCAACAUGGGGGUGUAGAGACACAUUUUUUCAGAGAGGCUAUACAGGCAAGUGUGUGGCCUACAACCUCCUGUGCCAGAACUGAAAUAAUUUGCAGAAUAUGACUUCAGACAGAAGUUGGAGAAGUUCAAUAAACAAUCUAAGAUCCAGUUAGCACAAACUGUUGACGAGGCACAGGAAGUGGUCAUGUUGGGUCCAGUGCGAUACAUUCGUACAUUGGAGAGGGAUGCCCUGGUGGAGUCAGCCACAAAGUUCUACUUAGAAAGCAGGAUACGGGAUGCUCUUGAGCAAUUCAAAGAGGGUCUGGAGUGUCUAGGUCUCCUGUCUUACAUGAAUAGACACUCAAGCCUCUUCAGAGAGGUUUUCAUCUAUGCUGAGAAACCUCUUUUGGCCAAAGACAUAGCUUCUCUCUUCCACGCAGAGCGCUCCCCACCUGGUACCAAUCAAAGUUUUCAAAAACAUUACAAACAACCAGAAUCAAUUGGACACAGUAAUACAUGAUGCAGCUUUAAUAUUUAAAUAAAUGUAUGAUUUCUUAGUGGGUAAUAAAGGUAAAUAAAGAGCAAUA